rnacentral:rRNA from 1 species
UGAGGUUCCCCACCGGGUCAACCGGGUAAGACCGCAGGGAGACCACCUGUUUGAUAGGCCGCAUGUGGAAGUCCGGUGACGGAUGAAGCUGAGCGGUACUAACGGUCGAGGGCUUGACCUC